UUGUUAAUUCUAAGAAGAAAGUUGUUUACUCCCCGGUGGCUUGGGACCCCGUCCAUAUUAAGUCCCCUGGAACGGGGCGUCAUAGAGGGUGAGAAUCCCGUCUUUAACUGUGGACUACCAGUGCUCUGUGAUGCGCUCUCAAAGAGUCGAGUUGUUUGGGAAUGCAGCUCAAAAUGGGUGGUAAAUUCCAUCUAAAGCUAAAUAUUGGCGAGAGACCGAUAGCGAACAAGUACCGUGAGGGAAAGAUGAAAAGCACUUUGGAAAGAGAGUCAAACAGUACGUGAAAUUGUUGAAAGGGAAACGCUUGAAGUCAGUCGCGUCUGCCGGGAUUCAGCCUGGCUUCUGCUUGGUGCAUUUCCUGGUUGACGGGUCAACAUCGAUUUUGACCGUCGGAUAAGGGUUUGAGGAAUGUGGCAUCUUCGGGUGUGUUAUAGCCUCUUAUCGUAUGCGGCGGUUGGGAUCGAGGAACUCAGCAUGCCUUUAUGGUCGGGGUUCGCCACACGUAACAUGCUUAGGAUGUUGGCAU
rnacentral:rRNA from 1 species